rnacentral:lncRNA from 1 species
CCACCGCGCCCGGCCAGUUCAAUGGAUUUUAAAAAUUAUUAUUCUCUAGAAAAAAGACCACGAACUUUGGAGUGGACAUCCUGAGACCUGCCUACGAAGACCAUUAGGUGGCCUCCAGAAGACACUCCCCUGAUUCCUACACCGAGGGAACACACAGCAGCAAGCUAGGAAAGAAGGGGUGACCCAGCCCAACGCUGUAAACCAGGGCGCGAACCGGCGUUGAGCUGUGCAGCUGCGCCCUGGGCUCCAGUCCUGCUCUGCCGCAGACCCCACCGGAGCCAGCACCUGCCUCCCCGACCCUCGCUGGGGCGGCUGUGAGAUGAGCCCAGAGCCUUCCUGAGCCAACCCUCGCAAGGAAAGUCUGUCUGUUCACCCCACUAUCCUUGUCUUGAAGGAUGAAGAAAAGAGGGCCCCCCGGGAGGUCCCAAAAGGUGGAAUGGACAUCUGGGAUCCAAGCACAGCAAUUUCUUUAUUUUUCUUAAGGUAUCCAGCUUGUUGGAAUCUAAGAUCUGCGAAGCCUCUCACUAGAGGAUGAAAAUCGUUCUGCAUAAAGGCCUGGGCUUUAUGAAAAAUAUAUUCACACCUCCCGUGUCCGAGCUGGGAUACCAAAGAAGUUCCUGGUUGAGUACUACUUAUGAAUGAAGGAUUCAGGGGAUGCACAGAAGCCAUGCCUUCUCUCAGGAGCAGACAGCACAAGACUUUCCUGCCAGAGGCACAGUCCCCAGUGGGAGUAGCAUCCACAUAAGACAGGAUGCAGAGAUGUCUUCAAGCAGCUUCAAACAAAACUUCAAGAAAGAAAGUGCAAGUGAAAAAGGAAAUUCAUCCUUCCAGUCACUUAACACAGCACUGUCACGGACACCUUGUGCCUCCUUAAAAUUCGUAUACUGAAGUUCUAAGCCCCAGUACCCCAGAAUGUGACCUUCUUUGGAAAUAGGGUCAUUGCAGAUAUGAUUAGUUAAGAGGAGAUCAUACUGGAGUGGGCUUUAAUCCAAUAUGACUGGUGUCCUUAUGUAAAGGGGAAAUUUGGACACAGACACACACAAGGAGAACACCAUGUGAACUGAAGUCAAAGAUUUGGGUGAUGCUUCUACAAGCCAAGAAAUGCCAAAGAUGACCAGCAAAGCACCGGCAGCUGGUGGAGGAGCCUGGACCAGAUUCUUCCUCACAGCCCUCAAAAGGAACCAAUCUUGCCAAAGCUUUGACUUAGACUUCUAGCCCCCUGUGAUGGUUAAUGUUAAGUGGCAGCUUGACUGGGUUAAGGGAUGCCCAGAUAGCUGGUAAGACAGUAUGUCUGUGUGCAUCUCUCAGAGUGUUUCUGGACAAGAUCAGCAUUUGAAUCCUUAGAGUAAAGAAGAUCUGCCCUCACCCACGUGCAUCACCCUAUCUCUGGAGAGCGCGAACAAACAGGAGGAAGGGCACAUAUGCUCCUUCUGUUCCAGCUGGCACAUCCAUCUUCUCCUGCCCCCUGACUUCAGAGCUCCUGGUUCUCGGGCCUCAGGAUUCCAGCACUUACAUGAGAGCGUGCUUCCCCCUCCCUACUCCACCCCUAGGUUCUCCGCCCUUUGGCCUCUGACUGAAUUCCACCACCAGCUUUUCAGGGUCUCCAGCUUGCAGACGGCAGAUCGUGGGACUUCUUGGCCUCCAUAAUUAUGUAAGCCAAUUCCCAUAAUAAAU